UCCAACUCUUGAAUUUCCGCGCGAAGUUUGCCUUCUCCAACACGUCUUACUCCAUCAGUGAACGACCGAUUCUUGCUCACUGUCUCCACCGGAAAUCGAUACGAUCGGACUGUCCAAUAUCAGAUUUUCAGUUGAACACGAUCGGAGAUUAUAAUCAGAUGGCAUAUGGAGAUUUUGUUUCCGAAAAGUAGAUUAAAUCGUUUUUUACGCUGAUAAGAGACGCCGCCGAAGCAACGAUCGAAAAACAUGAACAGGAGCAACACUGUGGAGAACUAUGUCCAGAGCAUCAAGCAAUCGGUUCAGCUCAGUCCCGAUCAGACGAAAAUGGCUGCGAAGGUUUGCAAGUAAUUCUUGGAUGUUGUGGAGAAGAAACAAUAUGGUUGGUUUUGGUUACGCCCAAAUGUAGGCAAGGACUGUCAUUGUAGGCAUGCUCUAUUUGCUGGGUAUGCUUUCAAGCUUUAAGCUCUUUUGUAGGAGGAGACUGAAAAUAUGUCUACUGAGAAGGGAGGAUCGAGGGGAUAGAAAAUCAGCAUGCCAAGAUAACUAAGACAACAUCAACCCUCAUGACUCCUGAGUUAUGCAUGCAGUGGAAGAAGAAAAAGUUUGCAGAAAGAGAAGCCUGUUUUGCUGAACUGACAGAAAGAGCCUCGAAUGAUCGUCUGAGUUAUCUCAGUGACCGCCAAUGGUGAUUAAACUAUUUCUGAUGAAGAUGGUGAUGGCGAUGCCCUGGAAUUGGUCCUAAAUGAGCUGGAAGCAAGGUGGUCAAAGACAGAGACCCAGUUACAAGAGUUGGGCGUUUGAUGCUCAAUGGCUAGCUUAAACAUCCUUGCAAAUUCAAAGCCUCCACUUGGAACCUUUUGCUUUAGGCGAUGGCACUCCAUUUGUUGGCACCGUAUUAGUGAUCUUUUACUAGAGAAGGGUCUGCCACCGACAAUAAUGGAAGGCUUAUAUAUUCGAAGGCGGCUCUGUUCUCUUGACGUGUACAAAUAAUAGAGACAUAAAGAAAGCAUCAUUUUAUGCUUGUCCCCUUGAAAAGGACUUCAAAAGCUUUUGCAAGCAGCACAGCAGACAAGCCUAAUCGCUGUCUUCCUCAGAAGUAAGUAAAGCUGAUAUUGGGCAAAAGAGAAUGUGGAAAAAACAGCAGAACAAGAUUGAUGAAGAUAUUGCUGGCGUUUGCAAUUAACAUUAUGUUCAGAUGGGACUCAGUUUUCAACAAUGCCACAGUUGAUGAACAUGGAGAUGUCUGUUAAAGGUAAACAAAAGUAAAAUAAAAAAUUUGAUCUUUUCUGACGUUGCUUCCUUCCUGCGUCCACGAAAAGUGAGUUCCAACUCAUAGUAUUAGUAGCUUUGUUUGGAUUAGAAUAAUGUAGUGAACUGAGGAUUAUUAAGAGUAGUUUCAUG